rnacentral:rRNA from 1 species
UACGAAGGUCCCAAGCGUUAUCCGGAUUUAUUGGGUUUAAAGGGUGCGUAGGCGAGCUAUUAAGUCAGUGGUGAAAUCUCCGAGCCUAACUCGGAAAUUGCCAUUGAUACUGAUGGUCUUGAGUACAUUUGAAGUGGGCGGAAUGUGUCAUGUAGCGGUGAAAUGCUUAGAUAUGACACAGAACACCGAUAGCGAAGGCAGCUUACUACAGGAUGAUUGACGCUGAGGCACGAAAGCGUGGGGAGCAAACAGG